rnacentral:rRNA from 1 species
AGCAGCCGCCGCGGGAAUACAGAGGGUGCGAGCGUUAAUCGGAUUUACUGGGCGUAAAGCGUGCGUAGGCGGCUUCUUAAGUCGGAUGUGAAAUCCCUGAGCUUAACUUAGGAAUUGCAUUCGAUACUGGGAAGCUAGAGUAUGGGAGAGGAUGGUAGAAUUACAGGUGUAGCGGUGAAAUGCGUAGAGAUCUGGAGGAAUACCGAUGGCGAAGGCAGCCAUCUGGCCUAAUACUGACGCUGAGGUACGAAAGCAUGGGGAGCAAACAGGAUUAGAUACCCGGGUAGUCCCUGUCUCUUAUAA